rnacentral:rRNA from 1 species
GAUGAACGCUGGCGGCGCGCCUAAUACAUGCAAGUCGAGCGAAUGGAUUAAGAGCUUGCUCUUAUGAAGUUAGCGGCGGACGGGUGAGUAACACGUGGGUAACCUGCCCAUAAGACUGGGAUAACUCCGGGAAACCGGGGCUAAUACCGGAUAACAUUUUGAACCGCAUGGUUCGAAAUUGAAAGGCGGCUUCGGCUGUCACUUAUGGAUGGACCCGCGUCGCAUUAGCUAGUUGGUGAGGUAACGGCUCACCAAGGCAACGAUGCGUAGCCGACCUGAGAGGGUGAUCGGCCACACUGGGACUGAGACACGGCCCAGACUCCUACGGGAGGCAGCAGUAGGGAAUCUUCCGCAAUGGACGAAAGUCUGACGGAGCAACGCCGCGUGAGUGAUGAAGGCUUUCGGGUCGUAAAACUCUGUUGUUAGGGAAGAACAAGUGCUAGUUGAAUAAGCUGGCACCUUGACGGUACCUAACCAGAAAGCCACGGCUAACUUCGUGCCAGCCGCCGCUGUAA